AUGCAUCUUUCCAAGUUCAAAUCCAACCUCAGACACUAGCUGCAUGAUUUGGGGCAACUCAUUUAACUCAGUUUGCCUCAGUUUCCUCAUCUGUGAAAUGAGCUGGAGAAGGAAAUGGCAAACCACUCCAGUACCUUUGCCAAGAAAAACCCAAAUGGGGUCAUGAAGAGUGAGACACAACUGAAAAGGACUGGACGAUGCCGUGAAAAAAAAAAAAUCAAAUGAAAGCCACCAUGUUUAAGAACCGCUGGCUGUAAUGGAUACGGAAUCAGUACCGUUUCUGAACCACUUUAAAGAUUCACCAAUCCGAUCUCCUCUUCUCCUUCCAGAUAAAUGACGAGAAAGUCUUUAUGAGUUCCUGCAGGCUAGCCCCACUGUGGUCCCCCUCUCGCUAUCCUAGGGAUGACACCCGCCGCUGUCCCAAGGCUCUAUUGCCAAGUGCUUGACGAACCUAAAACCGCUUUGCAAACAUCCGUUAUGCCGAUCAGUUUUCCCAAGUGUGGACCCGAGUAUGGGGGAGGGGCCUGCAGGGGGGCCGAGCUAGCAGUUCUCAAGGGGCCCGCUCCCUGAUAUCCGCCAGAUCGUUCACUCAGCCUUCAACGGCAGACACAAGGAGUGCCGACUGCCAGCUCCCUCUAUCAGCCACGGGAUUGUUCUCACGAAUCAAUGUUCCUGUCACAUCUGCCAUUAAGGUACAAUUAAUUGGUCUGCUUAUUCUCCUGGAAGCCGAUUCUAGAAUGAAUUCCCAUGAAGACUCACUGACUUGGAGCGAAAUCUCAAGCUGAAAUAGAGGAAGACAAAAUGUGGCCCGAGGAGGGCGUGUUCUGCGCUUUGCCUGGCGUCCCCGCCGCCUUUACGGCCAUGUCGGGUAGGGUGGGAGUGAACGAGACUCACCGUCGCAACCCGGACUGCUGGGAAUUCUAGGCUUGAACGUUGGGGUGGAAACCAUGGCGAGAGUUGGUGCUGGGAGGGAGGGCGAGCGACAGGCUGAUUCAGUGGCCCAAACAGGGGGCUCAAACCUCCCUUCUGAGCCGGCCUUACUGGCCGGCUGUCCUGGGGGAAAUCAAUUCACCUUUCUGAGCUCCUCUCUGAGGUGGGAGUGACGAUGAGAAGAAAAGAAGAUCUACCUCUGAGGGGACCAAAUAAGGCAACUGAUGUCGUGUCCUGUCAACACAAGCCGUCACUAAAGUUAUUGCUGAAGUAGAGAAGUGACAAGAAGAAGGCUGGACCGAGGACACCCGACUUUGGAGGAGAGCAGCUUUCGAAGAGCUUAAAUAAAGAAGCCACAGCCUAAUCUCUGCUGGUCAAAUCGGUCCAAAAGAGGGAGAAAGAAAAAGGCACAAAUGGAAAUCAUUCCACUGAGGGCAAAAAAUUCAAGAUUACCCAGAAGAUGAUUGUGGCCACCUAGGGAGCUCACUGACCAGUUUGGGAUUAAACACACACAAGAUGGAAGUCAGGCAAGUAAGAAUGGCUCCCCAAGUACCAAGUCCUGAAUGGUCAGAGGCUGGUGAUGGACACAAAAGGAAUCCCACAAAGUGGUCAAAAAAGGAAAUGAUGAGGUCACAGUAUAGAUGGAGAGGAUGAAUGAUGGUGGAUGAGAGGAAGGCUAAAACUUCUCUAUCAUUUUGCUCCUGAUUUGACCAAGAAGAAUGAGAAAACCAAAAGAGUGGAAAUCCAAGAUAGCCAAGGAGAUGAAAAGAUGGCGCCUACCCACUCUCAACUGGUUCAAGUAUUCCAUCAAAUUACAUUCUAAGAUGCCGCAGCAAUCUGGGGAAAGCUCCCACUUUAAGAUGGCAUCAUCCAGACCAGAAACCCGAAAGAGUCAGGUAAGGCAAAACCUCUACCAGCUGCCUGUCGGAGGUCUUCAAGCCCAGGUGAAAAGCACCAGCCCUUCUGGAUCUUCACCAACGAGAGAGAAAAGAGGAUUUUAUGUCCACCUCUUGAGCUGGGGAAACGGCUAAACGUAGGAAUGGAUGGGGUAAAAGAUGGCGGCCUGCUAACUGCUCUGUGAAAGUCCUGGCCCGAGCCAGAUCAGCAAGCAGAGCGAGAGGCCAAAGUGGCUGCCCUGAGGGAGUUCUGGGUUUUGCACACCACCUUGCACAUGUGCCAAUGAUGGGCCUCCCAUGCCUAUGUUAGGAGCUGCCAAGAUUCCGUUAUUGAGAUAUAAAGAUAACUUUGUUAGCGAGCAGAAGUAGAGAUAUUCCCCACUCCGUGGAGGAGAUCCCCUGUAGAAUCCAAAGGGAAGAAGGAUUCCCAAAGGAGAGUGAAAUCCUGCAGAUACUCUGAUACUCAGGGACAUUGUGCUGACAACUACACAGCAGGAAGUUGGCUCCCCAAUCCACAUAACAAAAAGCCUCUGGUCCAAUCUACGAUGGACCCCUGAUGGACCAUUCAUUCAGUCAAACCAUUACUCAACAAGCAUUUAUUAAGCACCUGUUGUAUACCAGCCAAUAUAUCUUGGACAAACAUGGCAGAGGAACAGUAAGCUGGGCAUGGAAUUAAAGAGGAAGAAGAGAUCCAGAUAGCUUUGGGGCAAUUACACAGCACUUUGACGAGAACAAGGUUUCUGCCUCUGAGAAAGAGAAUCCAUCUUCCUGCCACCAGUGCUCUCAUGAUGAUAGCAUAGAGCUGAGGCUCAGGAAACACAAGUCUCCAAAGAAUCCAAAUUGUAGGUGACCAAAGGACAAAGGAGGGACUUGGGGAGUUCACAAGCAGGGCUCCAUUGUAGUAAAAUUAAUAAUUUCAACUCCAGAAAUGGUAUUAAAGAAAUCACACAGCAAGAAAAUGAUGGGAAAGGAGGCGAGUGGCUCAUACAACAAGAGCAGGGAUUCAAAUAGAAUCAAGCCCGGCUACCCAAAAAAGGCUCCCAGGACACCGGGCAGGUCCUCUAUGGAGCAUCUGUGGAAGGGCAUUGCUGAGAGGAGGAAUGGGUGAGUCACAGCCUUUAUCCAUGAAGGGAGAACUUUCAUGGAUAAAAAGCCAUGAAAAAGCCAAGUUUGCCACCAACCCUAUGAGGUGGACAGUAUUAACCAUUGAUGGGGAGGAAGAGGAUUAGCCAAGCACUUCCCGUCUGUUACUUCUAAUCCUAACAUUUGGUUGGCUGGCAGAGAGAGCAGGUCAGAGCAGGAAGUUGUAAAGGAGGACCACAUGGACGUGCUGAGCUGCAAAGGGAAACCGCAGGGCACCAAUGAUCCACACCUGGGUCUAGGUCCAGUCCGAGGGUCAAAGUCACCGAAAGGGAAGCUAGUUUCCGACCAAGCUCCUCAGUCCUGGAGUGAGAAGGAACUAGACAUCUCAAUAAAUGAACAGUUUACAGAUGAGAAAACAGAUCCAGAGAGAAGGUGACUUUUGCAAAGCCACACAGGGUGUAAAGAGCCGAGUCAGGAUUCAAACCCAAAGCCCCCAAUUCUAACUACAAUGCUCUUUCCAAUCCAGCCCACAGCCUGUCACUCCUGCCUGGUGAUGACUCAUUAGAAAAACAAUGAAAGGACACAGUCUUUGAGAAAGAAGUUUACCUAGUGACCAGGACCCACCACAUUUCUCAUGACAUGUUUCACAAGAGUGAAACAAUACAUUCUGUCAACUCAGGACAGGGAGGAAGCAAGCCAAUUAUUUGCCAUUGUGUAGACCCAGCAAUUGCCUGGGUUUUUUUUUUCCUGAAAGUUCCACUCAAAAUUAAAGGGACCACAUCUGCCAGUAUAUUUGGAAUUCUUUUUUUCCCCCAUCUUCUACCUGCUUACCAAAAGAAAGGGAAGGGAGCAUCGCCAUAUGCCCUGGGGAACCAUACUGGUUCUUUACGAUUAAUCUGAGCUAGAUAAAAUGUGUAUUACGUGCUUACUCCUGUAAGCAGAACAUUCAGGUACUGUGUUAAGGGUUGGACUACAAAAACAAGGUGGCCAGAUGAUGCCUGCCCUCAAGGAGUUUCCAUUCUAAUGAGGGAGGAGCAAGAAGAGGAGGAAGAUGGACAAGGAAUAUAAGCUGCAGAAUAUCUUGGAAACCCCCAGGAAGUAUUGUGGAGGCCAGAUGUGGGCCCUUAGAGGCAGGGUGCUUUUUCCGAUGAGGAGGGAACAGUUUGCCAACUUGGCAAGUGGGAUUGAUGGGGCAGCCUCUUGGUCCUCAUCUUCACCAUUCUGGUUGGUCUCUGCUUGGACCUGUUGGCCAGGAAGAGCAGAUGCUCAGAGAGGGCAUCUCACAUUUAGAAUGAGCCCCUAAAGGUCAGUGAGUUCACAGAAGGAAAGAAUGGAACUCCAGGAACUCAUCAAGGACUCGACUGGUCGAACCAAGAGGAACACUGAAGUCUGUUGUAGUUUCAAAGAAACUACCCAAAGUAGUUGUCUAGGCCUGUCGUCCUUGACCAUUUCCCCAGUUGGUCACAUGGAACUGGCCAGCUGGGGACAGCUGCUUCAUCUGUCAUUCUUGGCCACAAGACAAAUGGUGCUGAGCCUCAGGGCCAGCCUGGCUCAAGCUGUUUCCCAAGAUCCCUGGGUCCCAGGUCCAUGUUCCUGAGAUUCUUCUGGUCACUGUGUUUCUUUAGCUGGGAAUUGCCCAAAUUAGAAUUCUCUGAGCCAUCAGCUCACAACUCCAGAGACCCCUUCUGGGCCUCCUACCCUACAACCCACUGGAAGCAACACUGCAAAUUGGACUGGAGAAGAACUUGACACCAGGUGGUUUUAUUUUCUGCAAGGUCAGGGACUUUGUUAUGUUGGUUUUCCAUGCAUUUUUCAUUUAAAAAAUGACUAUUUUUCCUUUGGCUCAAUUCUCCCUGUGCCUCUUGGCUCAUGCAUCGAAACGGAGAGGCUCAUGUUCCUAUCGUUUGUUAGAGGUGUCUUAGAGGCCAUUUGGUUAAAUGUCUUCACAUUACAAAGAAGAAACGGAAGUCCAGGGGAGUUAAGAGAUUUGCCCAAAGUCGAAUGGGCAAUAAACAGCAAGGCUUGAAUUUGAACUCAGGUCUUUGAACUACAAAGUUCCUUCCAUGUAUCACACUGGGUAGCUAAGCACCAACCAUGUUGACACAUUAACCAUCCCUCUUCCUAUCAGGUCAGGAAGAAAGGGGCCUAUCUCUGGGCUCUAAGGGCCCUGGAGGGACCAACUGGCAUUCAGAGGCUCCAAAACUCAAGAUUUAGAUCUGGAGAAGACUCUGGAGGCCAUCUAACCCAACCCUCUCAUUUUACAUGUAGGCAAACUGAGGUCUAGAAGGUGAAAUGAUUUGGCCCAACUUAGAAAGGAAGUUAGGAACAGAAUCAGAACUUGAACCACUUUCUAUGACUUCAGAUGAGGCAUUCCUUCUGCCUUCCCACAUUCCUUCCAGUCUGGCUUCAUCUAGUUCUAGUAGAUGGUAUUCCACCUGGACUGGUAGUCCCAUGUACUCACAUGGGACUCAGAGUCAGGAAAAAUUGGGUUCGAAUCCUACCUCAGAUAUUUAUUACCUCCAUGAUUAGAGGCAAGUCAUUUAACUUUUCAGCCUCAGUUUCCUCAUCUGUAAAAUAUGGGGCUUAGAUGGGAUUACUUAUAAGAUCCCUUUCAGCUCUCACUCCAUACCCUGUAAUCCUAUGUUAUCCUGCCUCUCUGCCCACAGUUGCCCAUAGCAUGGAUAGAGCCUUGAAAUUAUGAAUGCAAAUUUUCAAUGAAUUAGACUUUUACUGGAUGAGAUGACAGCCUUUCUGAAGCCCACAGCCUCAGUAGAUCUUGGACUAACAUCUCAGAACUUCCUACAAAUAUUGUGUCCAUGGAUGAUCCACUCGUUGGCUACCUCAUUCUCCUAAAGGGCCUGCCCCCAUUCUUUUCAGUCUCUCACAAACCUCUGUGCCCAUCAUCAUGGUCAUCGCUGUUGUAUCCUGAUGUGUAUUACCUAUCUUUGGAUCACUCAUUGUUCUGAGUGACAUGAGAGAGGGGAGCCUUUGAAGCAGUGAGCAGCUUCACUAAAAAUCUGGGAAUCGCUGCGGAUAGAGUGCCAGACUUGGAUCCAGGAAGAGUCAUCUUCCAGAGUUCAAAUCUGGCCUUAGACAUUUCCUCACUGUGUAACCCUGGGCAAAUCACUUAACCCUGUUUGUCUUCAUUUCCUCAUCUGUCAAGUAAGCUUGAAAAGGAAAAGGGAAACCAUUGCAGUAUCCUUGCCAAGAAAAUCCCAAAUAGGGUCAUGAAGAGUUGGAUACGACUGAACAACGACGACAACAAAAAACACUGUACGAUUUCUCAAAUGGUGUCUGACCCAUUCUCUUCCUUCUACUCCAUUCUGAACCCAUUGCCCAUCUGCAGUAUUUCUGGGACAAAUAUACCGAUGGUCCAUACCAAAAGCCUUUUCAUCCAACUACAUGGCACAGCCUGGACAGUUAGCGUUUUUCAUCCAUUUUGUUUAUAAGUUAUUGGUGACUGGGUUGACCUUUUCCAAAUGGUCAGAGGUCCAACUGAGAUGACUUCAUCAUGUUCCUGAGCACAAUCAAGUAUAAUAUCAUCCAGACAUUUGGAGAAACUCACUAUCACAUCAGGAACCCCUCUUCAGGGUAAUAUCGGAUUUUUAGAAGACCAGGACAACCUAGAGAAGGAAUAAGGUCAUCAGUCUAUAUCGAUGAGAAGCUUCCAUGGCACUCAUUAUUUCUUGGGUGAAUAAAAAAAAUGGUUGAAAGAAGCUGUUGAAAUCCAGUUGGAGGCAUAGAUAUGGUCAAAGUAUCCCAAUGAUUUUUUUAAAAUAUUCAUGGUAGAGAAGCGUGAGAGAAAGCAAGGUAUCAUGGAACUGGAUUUAGAACCAGAAGACCUGGGCUUCCAUUUGAGUUCUGCCAUUUAUGUGAUUCUGGGUAAAGCCCUAUCCCCACUCCAGACUGCCCUUUGCUAAGUUCUGUCAGAGGGAGGGGUUAGCUUAGAUCAGUUUGAAGCCCAGCAUUAGAGACCCUCUUGAGCCUCCCCGCCUCCUCCUCCUCCGUCAGGCUUUCCUUCUUUUGCCUGCCCUCUGCCUCUUCCUUCCCUAUCCAGGGCAUCCAUUAAACUGACCAUAAUGGGGAA